rnacentral:misc_RNA from 1 species
GAUGAAGAACGUAGUGAAAUGCGAUAAGUAAUGUGAAUUGCAGAAUUCAGUGAAUCAUCGAAUCUUUGAACGCACAUUGCGCCCGCCAAUAUUCUGGCGGGCAUGCCUGUUCGAGCGUCAUUUCAACCAUCAAGCCCCAGGCUUGUGUUGGGGACCUGCGGCUGCCGCAGGCCCUGAAAACCAGUGGCGGGCUCGCUGUCACACCGGGCGUAGUAGAUUUUAUCUCGCUCAGGGCGUGCUGCGGGUCCCGGCCGUUAAAAGCCUUUUUUUACCCAAGGUUGACCUCGGAUCAGGUAGGAAGACCCGCUGAACUUAAGCAUAUCAAUAAGCGGAGGA